UACUCCUCUGAUUCUCUCCCCCAUCCCAUUGUGGGGGGAGUGAGUGAGGGGCUGUGUGGUGCUUAGUUGCCAUCUGGGGUUAAGCCAUGACAACUGGAGAGCCAAGGUGCG